GAUCCCAUUUUGCAUUCAUCGGCGAAAAACUUUUCAAACGAAAGGGAUAAAAUGGUUUUAUGGAUGGCGAAAAAGAAUGGAAGAUAUUGUUACUUAAGUUAGUUACAUUCUAUAGUAAAGGUGUAUCAUUGCUUAGCUAAGUUGGAAGGUAAAGAAAAGCGAACAAUAGCCGGCAAUACCUAUCCUACCGACGGAAGGUGACAUAUACAAUAGGCCCUGUUUUAAUUUCAGUAUUUAUUCAAUAAAAUAGAAAAAUGAUAUCCCCAGGGUGUUUUAACCAUAUGGUUAUAAAAGCCGAGGAAGAAAGCUGCAUUAUGUGAAGAACGUUUCACACGCACAAAAAGAUGUGAGUGAAAAAGACAGGGUUUGAAUGAUGGACUAAGACGUCUGUCACCAUUGUGGAAAGAGAAGUUGGAUGAUAGGCCGGAGAACACAAUUAUGUAUUGUAGUUAGUUUAGUCAGUGUUGACGCUGUACAAGCGUUCAGAGCCUCGCCUAGGUAGUACUAAUGCACAGGCAAAGUAGUUUUGAUACAGAGGAAACAUUGUGGAUAAGAAAACGCUGUGGAUUAUAUCAAACUUGGAUUAACGUACCUGUUUAACAACGGUGUGGAAGUUUAACGCGAGAUGUCAGUUAACACUGGAUGUUAGUCACCUGUACCGGCAUUGAUAGAUGGUGCACAAAUGAGCUGGAUUGGUUACUGGUGAGGAAGCAGGUUGAUGACACGGUGAAGGUUAACAUGACCAAACCUCCCAACAUAGUGUGGUCACUAACCGUUUGGUACUCCACAUCAAAUUCAUACACCCUUGUUACUUGGUAUAUUACGUGAACAAGAAGCUCUAUAUCACAUUGACAUCGUUUUGUGUAUUGUUUAAACAUUCCAUCGCAGGACUAGCCUCCCUGUUACUUCAGAAGGAUGAAUUCGUUUAGGUUUGUUUCUGUGGAGCAAUUUGCAUACAUGUUUUAAGUCAUCUUGUUCGAGAGAAAGAGUGACAAUUAGUGACUUAUUUCCUCGUAUUAUAUUCAUUCCUUCAGUGAUACAAUUUCGGAUGAGGAAUAUAACUACAGAGCGUCAUUUGUAAUGUUGAAUAUGGAAUACCACAAAAUAUUACAAAAUAUGUUUCGAAUGUGGAAGUGCAAACCAAUUAAAGCUGGUGUAGAAUGUGGAAUGUUUACAACAAAACGUUAUAUCUGACGUGGAAUGUAGAAUAUUUAAUACAAAACGUUAUAUCUGGUGUAGAAUGUGGAAUGUUUACAACAAAACGUUAUAUCUGGUGUGGAACGUGGAUUAUUUACUACAAAAUGUUAUAUCUGGUGUGGAAUGUGGAAUAUUUACAACAAAACGUUAUAUCUGGUAUGGAAUGUGGAAUAUUUACAACAAAUCGUUAUAUCUGGUAUGGAAUGUGGAAUGUUUAUUACAAAACGCUAUAUCUGGUGUGGAAUGUGGAAUAUUUACUACAAAAUGUUAUAUCUGGUGUAGAAUGUGGAAUACUUACUACAAAACGUUAUAGAUGGUGUGGAAUGUGGAAUGUUUACUACAAAACGCUAUAUCUGGUAUGGAAUGUGGAAUAUUUACUACAAAAUGUUAUAUCUGGUGUGGAAUGUGGAAUACUUACUACAAAACGUUAUAUAUGGUAUGGAAUGUGGAAUGUUUACAACAAAACGUUAUAUCUGGUAUGGAAUGUGGAAUGUUUACAACAAAACGUUAUAUCUGGUAUGGAAUGUGGAAUGUUUACAACAAAACGUUAUAUCUGGUAUGGAAUGUGGAAUAUUUACUACACAAUAUUGAAGCUUAUGUUUAAUGUGGAAUACUUAGAACAAAACUUUAUUUAUUGUGUAGAACUUAAGAAUAGUUAUUACAAAGCAUUACACCUUAUGUGGAGUAUUAACUACGUGUUGUGUACAUGUGUGUUAUCAUUCGUUGGGAUUUACAUCAGAAACAGGAAGAGAAUUGUCUGGGCUGAAACAGAAAGGCCAUUACGAUCUCGUUUGUGAUUCUGACGUCAUCAAUCUUUGGGUUGCGACAAGAGCGAGCAAUGAGGAAAAUGCGUAAUUUGCUGACGUCACGGCGUGUUUCAAAGCCAAGUCGUUUGAGUGUCUGAUGUUUACGCUCGAUCAGCAUUACGGCGUCAUUAGGACCACACUGGUAGUACCGACACCCACACCGAUAGUGUUCUCAUACGGCUACAGGUCCGUAUUUAGACCGUUAAUGUUGCUAUACCAAAUGUUAUCAAAUUUUCAGAAAUAAUGAACACAAAAAAUGUCAAAAAAUUAAGAAAUUUAUGUAGCUUUCUAAAAAUUAUGUUUCAUGAAGUCUCAGGAUCUGUCCUCCACACGCAGCAAAGCUUUGUUUGUACAUUGUUGUAAUAUGUUUUUCUCUGUACAUCUAAUUUUGUGAAGAGAAAUGAUGUAAAAGUUUAUACUAAAUAUCUGUAGGUAAUAACUAUUUAUUUGAAGAUCAACUUUAGAAUUGCAAAGACACCAUUUCGAAACGAAACUCUCCGUCUCGUGAGAAUAAACCAAACAUUUUCUCA